rnacentral:lncRNA from 1 species
GAACAAGGAAAGUCGAAGGCAAGGAGGACAAAUGCGAAAACCGAAGAGCUCUCCAAAGACACGACACUCUAAAAUAACGUGAAUGUACAAGCUAAGCGAAAGGAAGCCGAAGAAGAAGAGAGGCGGGGGAGGGACCCGACCUGGUAAUGGAGGUGGGGACGCUCUUGGAGGCGCUUGAAGUGAGGAGGGGCAUCGAAGUACUUCUCCAUCAUGUCGAUGAAGCGGUCGUUGUCGAGGGCGGAGCACCUGGGGUCCUUCACCACCAGGGCCCCCGUCUCCCUCAGGAUCCGGCUCACCUCCCCGCACAGCCCCAUCAGCGCCGCCCCCAGUUGGGCCCCCACCUCCUCCGGGCGGGAGGUGCUCAGGGCGGGCGACAUCUCCAGGUACGGCGACACAUCGAUCACCGGGACUUCCAUUUUCCGAUCCUCGAAUGUCAGUAGUAACUCGAGAGAUCGCCAAGAAAUGAACGAACGAACGAACGAACGAAUGACCCAAUUGGGAGAGAAAAAAGAAGGAGAAGUAAAAU